rnacentral:misc_RNA from 1 species
UAUUAUAAACUUUCUAUNCGGUCUUGUAAACAGCUCAAACUAAUCGAGCAAUUUUGAAACUCCUUAAAACCCUGAAAAAAGUUUCGGCAGCGUCUUCUACCUUCGUCAGUUGCAACUUGUACAUUAAUGAGCGAAAAGCGUUAAUGACGAAGAUGGGGAUGAUGAGGAGGAUGAGGAAGAUGAUGAUAAGGAGAAGGAGGAUGAAGAGGAAGGAGAGAGUGUGGACGAAGAAUCGGAUUAUGAUGAACAGGAGCAAAACAAGAGUCAAGAUUUUUAUAGUGCGGUGCCCAACUUGUCAUUGGCACGAAGGAACAUGAACGAGGUUGUCCGGUACGACAUUUGUAUGAGCACGUUCCCUGCUAGUUUACAGAACACAGAGAAACUGUUUUACUGUUGUAAAAAAUGCGAUUCAAUUCAUCGGAUGUCG